rnacentral:rRNA from 1 species
GACGAACGCUGGCGGCGUGCUUAACACAUGCAAGUCGAACGGAAAGGCCCUGCUUUUGUGGGGUGCUCGAAUGGCGAACGGGUGAAUAACACGUGAGUAACCUGCCCUUGACUUUGGGAUAACUUCAGGAAACUGGGGCUAAUACCGGAUAGGAGCUCCUGCUGCAUGGUGGGGGUUGGAAAGUUUCGGCGGUUGGGGAUGGACUCGCGGCUUAUCAGCUUGUUGGUGGGGUAGUGGCUUACCAAGGCUUUGACGGGUAGCCGGCCUGAGAGGGUGACCGGCCACAUUGGGACUGAGGUACGGCCCAGACUCCUACGGGAGGCAGCAGUGGGGAAUAUUGCACAAUGGGCGGAAGCCUGAUGCAGCAACGCCGCGUGCGGGAUGACGGCCUUCGGGUUGUAAACCGCUUUCGCCUGUGACGAAGCGUGAGUGACGGUAAUGGGUAAAGAAGCACCGGCUAACUACGUG